rnacentral:rRNA from 1 species
UACGUAGGGGGCUAGCGUUGUCCGGAAUCAUUGGGCGUAAAGAGCGUGUAGGCGGCCCGGUAAGUCCGCUGUGAAAGUCGGGGGCUCAACCCUCGAAUGCCGGUGGAUACUGUCGGGCUAGAGUGCGGAAGAGGCGAGUGGAAUUCCUGGUGUAGCGGUGAAAUGCGCAGAUAUCAGGAGGAACACCAAUGGCGAAGGCAGCUCGCUGGGACGGUACUGACGCUGAGACGCGAAAGCGUGGGGAGCGAGCAGG